GUCACUCUUUAAUGACAGUUAAUUCUAGUCCUAAAUUGGUGACAAAAAAAAUUACAAAAUAGCCGAAAAAUCUGAAAUUUCACGUCUUUUUCUGCCAAAAUCAUGCCUUUUUUGUCUUUUUUUUAACAUUUGGCGACUGUUAUUUUCAGUCAGCCCUCACAAGCAGUCGGCACAUGUCCGUCGCCGCAGAUCGCUGCCGGUAAGAGUUCUCUCUUCCAAUCUCAGUCUCUCUCUCUAAGUCUCUCUUUCUCUCUCUGUGUUCAGAUUUGCGCCCGCCAACCACUAUGCGUCUCCGCCUGCUUAGCCGUCGCCGAUUUGCAGGGAACUACCACAUCUCGUCAGAAUAAUUUUUCUUGGAUUAGGUUUUGGGAGUGUUGGUAUGCUGUCCAGCAGAUAUUUGAUUUUGUUCUUGGUGGGUUUUUGGUUCGAAUCGUUGAGAAAAGUUUAGAAUGGAUCUCGAAUCAAGCAGUAAGUUAGGGUAAUUGAAGAUUUUUUUACUCAAGAUAAAGGAGAGUGAUUUGCAUGUUUGCGCAUAAACUCGAGGCAAAGAUCAUACCAGGUGCAUGACGAGAAGGUUUGUUGAAGGUGCCGUAUGGAAACCGUGUUAACACUUCUUCUUAGUAUCAUUUUUUACAGAAGUUUUGAGGGUUUAAAUGAGAACGUUGGAGUUUUAAGUUUUAAGUUUAAAUGUUUUAUGAUUUAUUUGUAUAUUCAUUGGCCCGAGAAGAACUUUGUUUAUUGUAGGACUAUAAACAGGUUGUUCAUUAGAGAAUCAGUAGGACUUAAGGAAC